rnacentral:rRNA from 1 species
UACGUAGGUGACAAGCGUUGUUCGGAAAUACUGGGCGUAAAGCGCACGUAGGCGGCGCAGCAAGUCAGGGGUGAAAUCCCGGGGCUCAACCUCGGAACUGCCCUUGAAACUGCAGUGCUAGAAUCUUGGAGAGGCGAGUGGAAUUCCGAGUGUAGAGGUGAAAUUCGUAGAUAUUCGGAAGAACACCAGUGGCGAAGGCGACUCGCUGGACAAGUAUUGACGCUGAGGUGCGAAAGCGUGGGGAGCAAACAGG